GUGAAUAAAAUGAAUGAAUGAAUGAAUGGAUGGAUGGAUGGAUGAAAGUGUGCCUGAGUCUUCUACAGCCUAAGUCAAUACUGGGAAAUUAUACCAGCAUCUUUGGAUGACAGUAAUCCCGCUUUAUCUACGACCUUAUUUUUUGUGGUUUCAGUUACCCUUGGUCAGACCCAGUUCAGAAGCAAGAUGAUCCUCCUUUUGACAUAUUGUCCAAAGGAUAAAGGAAAACGAAGUUCGAUGGGAAGCUUAACGCUACAAUGGAUUUUAAAAGAACAGAUCGAAUGAAUCGUAAACACCUGAUUAUUUCUCUGAACCACAGAGGAAGACACUGAGGCUCAGAGAGACCGUGCCAGUAAGAGGACAACUGCCAUGUGGAGUCUAGGCCCCCUGACCCCGGAUCCAGGACUCUUUCCCUUCACCUGCAGGCUCCCGAUCCUGCCUGUGGACUUUGAACACCCACGAGCCAUGCUAUCACGUGUCUGCAAGAGUUCAGGGAAGGCAAAAAGUGUAUCUGUUGAAAAAUAAACUAUCAGGCUCUGUUA